rnacentral:SRP_RNA from 1 species
CGCUGGUCUCCUCGCAUCGUAAUGUUGUCAACCCCGUCAGGCCCGGAAGGGAGCAGCGGUCGCAGCGGACACGAGUGCCGGGGUAAGGCUGGUGCGG